rnacentral:rRNA from 1 species
AAUUCCCGGCGUAGCGUUGAAAUGCGUAUAGAUCGGGAGGAAACCCGUGGCGAAGGCGGCCUUCUGGAUUCCCACUGACGCUGAGGUGCGAAAGCGUGGGUAGCAAACAGGAUUAGAUACCCUGGUAGUCCACGCCGUAAACGAUGUCGACUAGCCGUUGGGAGCCUUGAGUUCUUAGUGGCGCAGUUAACGCGAUAAGUCUACCGCCUGGGGAGUACGGCCGCAAGGUUAAAACUCAAAUGAAUUGACGGGGGCCCGCACAAGAGGUGGAGCAUGUGGUUUAAUUCUAUGAAACGCGAAGAACCUUACCUACCCUUGACAUUU